AGCAAUUUUUGGUGCAUGUUUCAACAUAAUUAUUUUUGAUUAUUUGAUUAUUUGAUAUUUGAUUAUUUGAUUAUUUGAUAAUUACUUUUAUUCCCACAACGCCAACUUUUUAGUCAUUUUAUAUUUUAUCUACAGAUGCAAUGCAUCAAUUUAGUACAUAAUUUUGUCGCUAGAGUGUAUAACACUUAAACCUUUUCUCGUUAACACUUUCUAAUGAUUUCUGUUCCAUAUAUACAUGACAGUGAGGUUGUGAUUUUAGUUGCGUCGCGUGGUGUCGAAAGACGCAGUUGAUAAAUGAAAAUAUAACCUAACCUCUUCUCUAAGCCGGAAGCCCUCGGACCGGCUUAAAAUAAACCAAGGGUUACGCGACGUUUUUUUUUAAUGCUUUAUACAUUACCAUAAGAGUCAUUUAUCAAAAUCCUUGCGGCUUUACUGAUGAAGACGUAAUGGCGGUCUGUUGGUCGUCUAUUUGCCAAGACGGAAGAUAACCGAUCGACACUUUUCCGUAGAACGGUACCAAGUGGUGCUCGCACAUGGAGAACAUUUCAAUGUCCUUCACUACCACCA